AGUAGUUGUGGUAGUGGUAGUUGUAGUGGUAGUGGUGGUGGUGGUGGUUGUAGUAGUAGUAGUAGUGGUAGUUGUGGUGGUAGUUGUAGUGGGGGUGGUGGUGGAAGUAGUUGUAGUGGUGGUGGUAGUGGUGGUGUUUGUAGUAGUGGUAGUAGUAGUGGUGGUAGUUGUAGUAGUGGUAGUUGUAGUAGUGGUGGUGGUGGUGGUGGUGGUGGUGGUAGUUGUAGUGGUGGUAGUGGUGGUGUUUGUAGUAGUGGUGGUAGUAGUGGUGGUGUUAGUAGUGGUAGUUGUAGUAGUGGUAGUAGUAGUAGUAGUAGCGGUGGUAGUAGUGGUAGUUGUAGUUGUAGUAGUAGUGGUAGUGGUAGUUGUAGUAGUGGUAGUUGUAGUAGUAGUGGUGGUGGAGGUGGUAGUUGUGGUAGUAGUAGUAGUGGUAGUUGUGGUAGUAGUAGUAGUGGUAGUUGUGGUAGUUGUAGUAGUGGUGGUGGUAGUUGUAGUAGUGGUGGUGGUAGUUGUAGUAGUAGAGUGGUAGUUGUAGUAGUAGUGGUGGUGGUAGUAGUGGAAGUAGUAGUAGUGGUAGUUGUAGUGGUGGUGUUAAAAGUUGUAGUAGUGGUGGUAGUGGUAGUAGUGGUAGUUGUAGUAGUGGUGGUGUUAAAAGUUGUAGUAGUGGUGGUAGUGGUAGUAGUGGUAGUUGUUGUAGUGGUGGUGGUGGUGGUGGUAGUUGUAGUAGUAGUGGUAGUUGUAGUGGUUGUGGUAGUAGUAGUGGUGGUGGUUGUAGUGGUAGGUGUAGUGGUGGUGGUGGUGGUGGUAGUUGUAGUAGUAGUUCCACUAGUAGUAGUAGUAGUAGUAGUAGUAGUAGCAGUACCAAUAGUAGUAGUAGUAGUGGUGGUGGUAGUUGUAGUAGUGGUGGUGGUAGUUGUAGUAGUAGAGUGGUAGUUGUAGUAGUAGUGGUGGUGGUAGUAGUGGAAGUAGUAGUAGUGGUAGUUGUAGUGGUGGUGUUAAAAGUUGUAGUAGUGGUGGUAGUAGUGGUAGUUGUUGUAGUAGUGGUGGUGUUAAAAGUUGUGGUGGUAGUGGUAGUAGUGGUAGUGGUAGUUGUAGUAGUAGUGGUGGUGGUAGUUGUGGUAGUUGUAGUAGUUGUAGUAGUAGUAGUAGUAGUAGUAGCAGUACCAAUAGUAGUAGUAGUGGUGGUGGUAAUGGUAGUUGUAGUAGUAGUGGUGGUAGUAGUAGUGGUGGUGGAGGUGGUAGUUGUAGUAGUGGUAGUUGUAGUAGUAGUGGGGGUGGUGGUAGUUGCAGUGGUGGUGGUAGUUGUGGUGGUGGUAGUUGUAGUAGUAGUGGUGGUGGUAGUUGUGGUAGUUGUAGUAGUUGUAGUAGUAGUAGUAGUAGUAGUAGCAGUACCAAUAGUAGUAGUAGUGGUGGUGGUGGUAGUAGUUGUAGUAGUAGUAGUGGCGGUGGUGGUGUUAGUUGUAGUGGUGGUGGAGGUGGUGGUAGUUGUAGUGGUAGUAGUAGUAGCAGUAACAAUGGUAGUACCACUAGUAGUAGUAGUAGUAGUAGUAGUAGCAGUACCAAUAGUAGUAGUGGUGGUGGUGGUGGUAGUUGUAGUGGUGGUGGAGGUGGUGGUUGUAGUAGUAGUAGUGGUGGUGGAGGUGGUGGUUGUAGUAGUAGUGGUGGUGGUAGUUGUAGUAGUAGUGGUGGUGGUGGUAGUUGUGGUAGUUGUAGUGGUGGUGGUAGUUGUAGUAGUAGUAGUAGUACCACUAGUAGUAGUAGUGGUGGUGGUGGUGGUGGUAGUUGUAGUAGUAGUAGUAGUACCACUAGUAGUAGUAGUAGUAGUAGUAGUAGCAGUACCAAUAGUAGUAGUAGUGGUGGUGGUAAUGGUAGUGGUGGUAGUAGUAGUGGUGGUAGUAGUAGUGGUGGUGGAGGUGGUAGUGGUAGUAGUAGUUGUAGUAGUGGUAGUUGUACUAGUAGUGGGGGUGGUGGUAGUUGUAGUGGUGGUGGUGGUAGUGGUAGUAGUAGUAGUGGUGGUGGUAGUUGUAGUAGUAGUGGUGGUGGUGGAGGUGGUGGUUGUAGUAGUAGUGGUGGUGGUAGUUGUAGUAGUAGUGGUGGUGGUGGUAGUUGUAGUGGUAGUAGUAGUAGCAGUAACAAUGGUAGUACCACUAGUAGUAGUAGUAGUAGUAGUAGUAGCAGUACCAAUAGUAGUAGUGGUGGUGGUGGUGGUGGUAGUUGUAGUGGUGGUGGAGGUGGUGGUUGUAGUAGUAGUAGUGGUGGUGGUAGUUGUAGUAGUAGUGGUGGUGGAGGUGGUGGUUGUAGUAGUAGUGGUGGUGGUAGUUGUAGUGGUGGUGGUGGUAGUUGUAGUAGUAGUGGUGGUGGUAGUUGUAGUAGUAGUAGUAGUAGUAGUACCACUAGUAGUAGUAGUAGUAGCAGUACCAAUAGUAGUAGUAGUGUUGGUGGUAGUUGUAGUAGUAGUAGUAGUAGUAGUAGUAGUAGUAGCAGUACCAAUAGUAGUAGUAGUGGUGGUGGUAGUAGUUGUAGUAGUAGUAGUGGCGGUGGUGGUGUUAGUUGUAGUGGAGGUGGUGGUAGUUGUAGUGGUAGUAGUAGUAGCAGUACCAAUGGUAGUACCACUAGUAGUAGUAGUAGUAUCAGUACCAAUAGUAGUAGUAGUGGUGGUGGUGGUGGUAGUUGUAGUAGUAGUGGAGGUGGUGGUUGUAGUAGUAGUGGUGGUGGUAGUUGUAGUGGUGGUGGUUGUAGUGGUGGUGGUAGUUGUGGUGGUGGUGGUAGUUGUAGUAGUAGUGGUAGUUGUAGUAGUAGUGGAGGUGGUGGUUGUGGUGGAGGUGGUAGUUGUAGUAGUAGUGGUGGUGGUGGUAGUUGUAGUAGUAGUAGUACCACUAGUAGUAGUAGUAGUAGCAGUACCAAUAGUAGUAGUAGUGGUGGUGGUAGUAGUUGUAGUAGUAGUAGUGGCGGUGGUAGUGGUGGUGUUAGUUGCAGUAGUAGUGGUGGUGGUAGUAGUAGUAGUAGUAGUAGUAGUAGUAGUAGUGGUGGUAGUUGUAGUGGUAGUAGUAGUAGCAGUACCAAUAGUAGUACCACUAGUAGUAGUAGUAGUAGUAGUAGUAGUAGUAGUAGCAGUACCAAUAGUAGUAGUAGUGGUGGUGGUGGUAGUUGUAGUGGUGGUGGUAGUUGUAGUAGUACCACUAGUAGUAGUAGUAGUAGCAGUACCAAUAGUAGUGGUGGUGGUAGUAGUAGCAGUACCAAUAGUAGUGGUGGUAGUAGUCGUAGUGGUGGUGGUAGUACCAGUAGUAGUAGUAGUGGUGUUGGUAAUAGUAGUAGUAGUAGUAGUAGUAGUGGUGUUGGUAGUAAUAGUUGCAGUAGUAGUGUCAUUGACCAUGUGAUGGUUUACUAAUAGUUUUUCCCAGUGUCCACAGAAGUGUGGAGGUUGGACAUCUGUUUCCUCUUCUUUCCUCACCCUCUUCCUGCUUUCCUCUCAUCUCUCCAUCGCGGGGCCAGAAUGAGCUAAUAAUGAGCCAUGAUGAGUGUUCCUCAACAGACCGAAGGGAACUUAACAAGAAGAGAGGAAGAAGUGCAGGUCUUCAGGUUGUAAUGUGAAUAGCAGGACAGACUGCUCAUUAAAGCAGCUCACUGCAUCGUCACAAACACACAGGGGCUUUUAUGAGAACAGAACAGAGGAAGGCCACCCUAGUCAUAGACUGUUCUCUCUGCUACCGCACGGAAAGCGGUACCGGAGUGCCAAGACUA
rnacentral:lncRNA from 1 species